AUGAUCUUGAUUUGCUUGCCGCAGCAGCCGUAUCUCGCUCACCGGCCCGGCGACCACCUCCGACCCGGGCAGGCAGGAGCUCAGUCCUCCUCCUCCCCCAGGUCUGGCAGCAAGCAACAACUAAUAGAGAUACCCCUCGCCGGUGACUGCAUCCACAACGUGCGCCGGCCGGACGGCAGGCGCCACCCCUCUCGUGUGUUUACGAUGGAUGUGCUCCUCAACGCAGCACAAUGGGUGGUGGGCAAGGCGCUGGCCUCUGUUGCUGAUGGCGUGCUGGAGGCUUGGGGUGCCACCAAGAACUUGGGUGUCAACAUCGAGGCCUUAAGGAUGGAGCUGCUGCUCGUGAAGGCCACCCUCGAAACUGCCAGCUACAAGCAGGUCGAUGGCCCGGCCAUGCAAGAGCUCCUGGGGAAGCUGCGUGACUCGGCGCUCUCUGCCGAGGACUUGUUGGAUGAGCUGGACUAUUUCCGCAUCCAUGACCAGCUCCAUGGCACAUACGAUGCUGCAGACCAGCAUGCCAAGGGCGGCUUCCGCGACCUUGCCCUCAACGUUCGUCACGCAGCCAAAGCUGUUGGCAAACUGACAUUUGUAUCUUCAUGCUACUGGUCUGCUGCUAAUCCAACAGGUGAUUCUGGAGAAGAUGCAGGACAGCGGGCAAGCUGUUGUCCUUGGUCACGUGCUAGGCAGAGGCCACCCGGCAAUUCAUCCUCAACGCCAAAUGCCAAUCAAGAGCCAACUCUUUGUGGUGGGGCCCACAGAGAACCACCAAUGCUGGGUUUUAAUAGGGUUGAUUUCUCUGAAAGAAUGAGGCACAUUGUAGAGGAAUUGGAGCAUGUGCGUAGAGAGGCUACUCAGAUUCUGCAGAGUUGUGACCGUAUAACUAUUCCAGAUGUUUCCCAGAGUCGUCCCAUUACUACCGGUCAAAGUAUAGAUCCAAAAUUGUAUGGAAGGGACCAUAUCAUGGAUACCAUCAUACAUGAUAUGACCAAGGGUAAAUACCUUAGCAAUGAUCUAACUGUGCUUCCGAUUGUUGGUCCAGGGGGAAUUGGAAAAACAACUCUGAUACAACACAUAUAUAGAAACCAGCAAGUUCAAAAUCAUUUCCAAGUUAUUAUUUGGGUAUGUGUGUCACUCAGUUUCAAUUUGAACAAGCUGUUAGAAGAGAUUAAAACAUACAUCCCUCGGGUUGAAGGGGAAAAGGAUGGUAGGGCUGAGGAGCUGAUUGAACAAAGAUUAAAAUCUAAAAGGUUUUUGCUUGUACUGGAUGAUAUAUGGGAGUUUAGUGACACGGAUGAUUGGAAAAGGUUAUUGUUGCCACUCAAAACAUCGCAAGCAAUGGGUAGCAUGAUUCUGGUCACAACUAGGUUUCCAAAAAUAACAAAGAUGGUUGGAACAGCUAAACAUAUAGAAUUGCAAGGGUUAGAAUCUGAAGAAUUUAGGAAGUUAUUCCUUGCAUUUGUCUUUGGCAAUGAGCCCGCUAGAAGUGAUCAGUAUGUUUUCCUCGAGAUUGGAAAUAAGAUAAUGGAAAAACUAAGGGGCUCCCCUCUUGCUGCAAAAACAGUUGGUACAUUGUUAAGUAAAGACCUUAGUUUGCAUCAUUGGAGAAGGGUCUUAGAAAGUAAAGAAUGGGAGACACAGACCGAUGCCAAUGGCAUUAUGCCUGCAUUGAAGCUUAGUUAUGACCAUCUUCCUUUCCAACACCAACAAUGUUUCUCCUUUUCUGCAUUGUUUCCUGAAGAUCACAAGUAUAGUGCCAGCCAGCUAAUCAACUUGUGGAUUGGAUUAGGUAUCUUACAACCUGGUGCACGAAACCAAACACUUCAACUUACAGGCUCGAACAAUUUAAAGGAUCUGGUGGCAUGGGGAUUUUUCAGAGAGGAGAGUGCUUAUGGUUAUCCAUGUUAUGUUAUGCAUGACCUGCUACAUGAUUUAGCAUUGCAAGUUGCAUCUCAUGAAUGUCUUACUGUGCAUCAUUCUAGUGUGAGAUUAGAAGAAAUUAAUCCAAACAUCCACCACCUGUCAAUAAUCAUAGAUGAUGUUGAUAAAAUUUCUCUUGAAAAGCUUAAGAGGCAAUUGAGAAAAUUAAAGGCAAGCUUGAAGGUUAAACAGUUGCAUACGUUGAUGUUAUUUGGAGAAGUGGAUGAAAGCUUUGUCAGCAUUCUGGGUGAUUUGUUUAGGGAAGCAAAUGCUCUUCGUGUUCUCCGUUUGGAUAAAAUCUCCUUUUCAGUUGAGUCCAUAUUACAUAACUUUUCAGCACUUGUUCAUCUACGGUACCUAUAUCUGGAGACAAAGUGUGAGAGGGAGAUGCAUUUACUACUUAUCAUUUCUAGAUUUUAUCAUUUAAGGAUUUUGUCUCUAGGGUCAUGGUGCCCAAACUGUCAUUUGCCCAAAGAGUUGAGCAACCUUGUAAACAUGCGUCGGUUUUAUACACUAGCUGAUGAGUUGCAUUCUGAUAUUGUCAAUGUGGGAAAACUCAAACACUUAGAGGAGUUGAUGGUAUUUAGAGUCAAUAAAAAAAUUGAAGGGUUUGAGCCAAGUCAACUAGAGCAUUUGACUGAACUAAGGGAGCUUGGCAUCUAUAACCUUGAGAAUAUACACACUAAAGAAGAAGCAGCCAAAACAAAGCUGGGAGAGAAAAUCCACUUGGAGAAGUUAACAUUAGACUGGGAUAAUGAGCGGUCUAAUACCGAGCCAGGUGCAGAAGCAGUUGUCCUUGAGAACCUUCAACCACAUAGAUAUCUUCAGGAGUUGUGCAUUAGAGGGCACAAAGGCUCUUCUUUUCCAACAUGGCUGGGUGAUAAGGUCACUGUUGAAUCUCUUCAUCUCUCUGGUGUUUCUUGGCAAUGUCUCCCUCCUUUGGGGAAGAUGUGGGGCCUUGGUAAAGUAAUAUUGGAACAUAUUCCCGCAAUGGAGGAGUUUGUUAUAGAGCAAAGCCUUUGCAAGCUAAUAAGGGUUGAGCUUGUUGGCUUGGGAAGUUUUGGAAAAUGGGUAGCAUCACAGGAUGCGGAUCAUAUGUUUCCUCUUUUGCAAGUAUUGAUUAUAAAAGACUGCCCUCAACUGUUGGAGUUGCCAUUUGCAAGCCAGAUUGUUUACACAUCAGAUCAAGGCCAGAAUAGUGAUUGGUUUCCCAAACUGCAAGAGCUUCAGAUAGAGAAGUGUCCAGAACUGUUGUUAGUGGCUCAUAUCCCACGGACUGAAACUCUGCAUAGUGUGAACAUAAGUGAUGUCAAGCUACUAGACAAGCUCGAGUACUCAACAAAUUCCUUCUUUGGGGGACGCUGUUUGGAUAUUGCAGGAAAGGAUGAUUUGCAGAGCUUAGAUGAGGUGGUAGCAUUCAGCAAGCUGGCAGGCCUUGAGCAUUUGUACCUCCACAAGUGCCCAGCUCUGAAGUCAAAGCACCUUCUGCUGUUGACCUCACUGAAGAAGUUGAUGGUAGAGGGUUCAGAUGGUGUGGUUGUAGAGGGUUCAGAGGGUGAUGUGGAAUGGCAGCACCCCCUUAAGCAUCUUGUGGUCGAGGGCGAGGAAUCACGUGCGAAGGAAUUGACAGAGCUCCUCACCCACCUCCCAAGCAUCUCCGAAUUAGAAAUCAUAAAAUGUGAAAAGAUAACACAACUGGCAGUCGGGUUGGAUGUGCAACAAACAACGUCAGCAGCAGCAGCUACGGAGGUGGAUGAGAAAGAAGAUGAUGAUUCAGGGCUGCUGCUCUUACCUUCCCAUCUCUCUGACUCACUGCAGGUGUUGAGCAUCGAGAGUUGUCCAGAGCUGGUCAUGGUGGACCCCACUUCAACUUUUCUUCCUGCCAGAGGAGCAGCAGGAGGAGGGCUCCAGGCCCUGCGGUCCCUCAAGACUCUACAAAUUUACUUCUGCCCAAAGAUACUAUCCGCAAAGAGUUCUCCAUCCUGCUGUCCUUUUCCAUCCUCUCUGCAAGAGCUCCGUGUUGAGGGUGUGGAAGGCAUGGGGACCCUGGGGCAUCUCCUUACCGCUGGGGGACAGCUCAUACUGUUAAGCAUUGGUGGCUGCCCUGGAUUCUUUGCUGGAUGGGAUCAGGAGUUAAAGCAGCAGCUUCUGAAUGGAGGAAAAGAGCAGGAACUGCAGCAGCUUGUUUCGCCCCAGAAUGGAUGCAAACUGCAGGAGCUCUAUACGGAUGAUGCCAUGGGACUCCUAUCUGUGCCCAUCUGCAACCUCCUGUCUUCCUCCCUCAGCAUCCUGGGCUUCUUUGGCAACCAAGAGAUGGAGUGCUUUACUAAGGACCAAGAGGACGCCCUUCACCUGCUCGUCUCCCUCGAGAAACUGAUGUUUAUCAACUUGAGCAAGCUUCAGAGCCUCCCUGCAGGGCUGCAAAAGCUCACCAACCUCAAGGAAUUAUCGGUCUACUCAUGCCCGGUUGUCCGGUCGCUGCCAGAGGAUGGCCUCCCCAAAUCACUUCAAGAAUUAGAUGUCUGGAACUGCGGCAACACGGAGCUAACAUAG
rnacentral:rRNA from 1 species